AAUUGCAAAAUCUCCAGCUCAUUCGCAGACACACAGUGGGGUCUGGCAAAGCCAUUCACAGUCCUGGAUGUGAACUAGAACCUACCACAGGAAAGGCACCAAGGACAACGCCAGUGAGGCUGUGUCGAAAGCCGGAUUGUCUCUGCGAAACGGUUCUCUCCCAGCAGGCAGAGGGAGAAGAGAACCUCCAUCCAAUUUUAUCCGGGGCCUUGUUUUUCCAAUCAGAGUCAUGGAACGGGGAUGAAAGAGAAGAAUAAAAAGAAGCCAAGACCAUCUGAUUAGUUUACAUUGGAGAAACCAGACUCACAGGAGGGGAAACGCUACAUCUGUAACAUAAAGGCUGAGUGGCCUACGGCAUGUCACCUACCCUCCCUAAGUUCAGUGUCCUCACCACCAAUUGCGGCAAGGAUGGUGCUACCUGCCUGCACCCCGGACUUCUAUGAGAAUCAAGUACGACUCCUGGUAGCCGGACCCAAGAGAAAACGGAAACAUUUGAAAGACAAACCCAAGGAGACAGAAGUUUCUACUGACUUCCCAGAAGAGGAUUUCAGAAUAGACGAGGCCGUCCCAUGUGGGCCACGAGAAUGACUACUGUGUGUUGGGAGCGGCGGUUUUGAGACGUGCUGUGUGACUGCUGGAGGACACAAGCCAGGCGCGGAGCAGAAUACACAAACAGGCCGUGGCAAGCUCUCGGAUGAGUUGUCUUGGGCUCCCAGUUAAGCUACGAAUCAAGUAGGUAGAACCUUUCUUGUUUCUAUGCCUCUCCUUCAGGGAUCUCAUUCUUGGUAAAGCAACUCAGGAAGAAAAAAAAAAAUGAUGCUUCUUUGUUUCUAGGACUUGGCCUUUUGUUUUAUAAUUAAUAUAGAUUCCCACCCAAUGCAUAAAUGUUUAAAGCGUCAUUUAUAUUGCAUUGCCCACUUGUUAAAGUUUAAAAUGUUGCAAAUAGCCAAGAGUCUGUGCUUUAGUUACAAGCAAACUUGCUCACGCCAUGGUCUUAGUUUCCAGCAAACAGUGGCAGGAAUGAACCUCGGGGUCAACUUUGUAUUUGCUGUACAUCCUUUGCCAUUACAAAGUAAGAUGAAAAGAUGCGCUUUUAAGUUAAAGCCUAGCUUAGAAUAUUUUAAGUAUGUACAUGUAUGUGCUGGCCUACAUGUGUGUUUGCAUGUGUGUGCACAUCUCUCAUAUAGUUUAUACAGAAAUUGAUGAAAAAAGUAGUCCUAACCCAAUACUGCUGUAAUUGGCAAAAAGAAAGGCACAAGGAGAUAUAAUCUCGUGUCUUCAGAUAUAGGAAUUAUUUUGUUAACAAGGACCUGGGUCCAGAGAUUGAAGCACCUGCAUUCUAAAGACCAUAUGCAAAUAAAGCUGAGGUUCUUCUCCACGUGGUCCUUAGAUACGUUCAUGUUUCCUGUCUCUUUGACUUAUAUGGCAACUCAUUGGUGGGCUGUGCAGCGGUUUCAAAUCAAGGCAGCCUCAGUCAACUUGUCCUGGGCUGGGAUCUUGACUAGGCUCCUACCCUGUCCCGAAUGGCCCAUCCAGCUCCUGGUUCAGUAACUGAGCCCUUGUUUGUUCUAUCCUGGUUCGCGUUCUAGGCCUCCCAGGUGUCAGACUGGCUCCUUUGAAUCUCAGUCUUACCGCCGUAAGUUUUAGGCAGUAUGGAUUUCCAUUACAGGUUCUGGUGCAGGAAGCAUGGCACUGAUAAUGGGAAGCUGGUGGAUGUUUCAGUAAUAGCUCUUUAGUAAAGGGGGCGAUAGGUCUGCACUGGUGAGAAUGUUUGAAUUCUAGAAUAUUUUAAAAAGAGGAAGCUCCAGUGUUUUCCAGCACACAGGGGAAUGCUAGAUAGCUGCAAAGGAGUUUCCUGGUUACCGGAAUCAAGGUAUAAGUGAUUGUCAGUAUUUUGUGUAAUAGAUACUCAUGAAUUUUAGUAAAUAUAAGAAUCACCCAGGGAGCUUAUUUCAAUGCACAUUCCGUCCAGGUACGGUGGCUCACGCCUGUAAUCCCAGCACUUUGGGAGGCUGAGGUGGGUGGACUGCUUGAGGUCAGGAGUUCAACACCAGCCUGGCCAACAUGGUAAAACCCUGUCUCUAUUAAAUAUACAAAAAAAAUUAGCCAGGUGUGGUGGUGGGUGCCUGUAGUCCCACCUGAAGGCUGAGGCAGGAGAAUCUCUUUAACCCAGGAGGUGGAGGUUGCAGUGAGCUGAGAGCACGCCACUGCAUGCCAGCCUGGGCAACAGAGCGAGACUCCAUCUCAAAAAAAAAAAAAAAAAAAAAAGCACAUUCCCAGAUUCCUAGAGUCCAUCCCCAGGGGUCCUGAUUCAGAAGCUGUGGGGUGUAGUUUAUGAGUUGUGGACUUUCCCCCAUUCUCUCUUGGGUGGAAUUUUGGGAAACAUGGCUCUACGCCUUCACUGAGCAACACCCAUAUAUAUAUCACAAAUUUUAAUUUUUACAGACUGUGAUUGUUACAAAAAUAUUUACUGUCUUUAAAAAGUUCAGUGUGUCCCUUGCACCGUUAAUUCUUCCAGUAAAUUAUUUCUAUAAAACACAGAUGUAAAAGUUAACGUACCCCGAUCCAGAAUGAAUUACCACAAAUUGCUCUAAGCCGGGAUGAAAUGCAAAUUAAUGAGAUUUCUGUAAAUGCUUAUUUUUUUCUAACUAGUAUUCUAUAGUGGUGAGUUAUGAUAUGUAGUCAAACAUUGAACUGUUUUAGCUAUUUUAGGAGAUUAAUUUAAAGGCUAUUUUUAUACUAGCUAAGAGAGGGAGGGUAAGCUGAUGAUCAACCUACGUAACGUUUGCCUUAACAGACUACAUUUUGUGGGAAAAGCAAAAGCAAACCAGAAGUGCCCAGGUAAAUGUUGCAGGGUGUCUGUCAGCACACUCAGACAGUGUCUCCUCUUUUACCAGAAGAUAGAAGUCUGUUCCCUGAUUUCAGAUGUCUAAAGAUCUAAAUGUAAAGAACAAAAAGAAUGGUAAUAGCUCAUAUCAGGGCUGGGUGCAGUGUCUCGUACCUGUGAUCCCAACAUUUUGGGAGGGGAAGGCAGGAGGACUGCUUGAGCCCCGGAGUUCAAGAUCAGCCUGGGCAACAUAGUGAGACCCCAUCUCUGCUAAAAAUAAAGAAGUCAGCCUGACGAGGAUUGUGUGCACCUGCAGUCCCAGCUACUCAGGAGGCUGAGGUGGGAGAAUUGCUUGGGUCUGGAAUGUUGAGGCUGCAGUGAGCCGUGAGCACACCGGUGCAGUCCAGCCUGGGAAGCAGAGGCUUGAAAACAAUCUCGCUAAUAUUAGUCCAGCCCUUUCUGUGUGCCAAGUACUGUUGAUCUGUGAUUUCAUUUUACCUUCACAACGUCUCUGCAGAUGGAUACUGUUGUCAGCUCUAGUUUACAGUGGAGGAAAUGGAGGCUCAAAAACUUAAGUAAUUCGCCCAAAGUCACAGAGCCAGAUCUGACUCCAAAGCCUAGGAGACCCAGGUCACAUCUACGGCUGAGAAAGGACUCACUCUCCAUGCUGCCACUGGUCUCCUCAAUCGGUAUUUCCUUCGUUUUAGGUGUAAACUAGAUAGCUAAAACCUGCAGUUUGGGAAAAGUUCAUGCCGAAUGAAGUGACAUACAGAGAAUAAUUAUGCAGAUAAUUUUCUUUAGGAAACGGAAAAAGAAUCCCUUUUAAGAUUUCAGUUUCAAUAUAUUUUUGUCCCAGUUGCUACCGUGUGCAACUGUGUCUGAAUCUGGUGACCAAACCACAGUGAGCAUCCUGUCCAGGUACAGCAGCUGUUUUGGGCAGCCUCAUAUUAGACUGUCCAUGUAACUAAUCUUUCAAGGAGAGAGGACAUCCAACUGAGAUUAGAUGAGAGGAGAAGGAGUGAAAGAGGACCACAGAUUGUAAUCUAUUCCCUUUUGUGAUCAGCAUGUAGAAAAUAGUUUCAGAAAUGUAUUUUCAUGUUUUACUGAAAAAAAUAUUUGUAUCCCCUUCAGGGAAGACAAGAAAAAGUAGCACUCAGGAUCCUAGCAGUGGCUUCAGAAAGAGGAAAUCGGCUGGCACUCUGCCAUGCACGCUUCAUACACAAAGCCACCUAGGUCCAUUAACAGCCCUAUCUGAGGUGCAAAGGCUGGGGGAGGAUUCAAGCAUCUUAGUUCCAACUGCAGGUUGGGCGUCUCGUUACCGCACAAUACAGGGAUUAUUUCAUUCCACUUGGAGGACCUGGAUAGCAGAAGACAUUUUUAAGCAGGCAGUGAGGAGAGCAGGGAAAAAAGGCAGGUGGGGACUUGAAUGUAAGACAGUGCAGAGGGCCUGAGAGACCAGGAGAACAGGGAGAGGCCACAGUUGUAGGCCCCAAGGAGUAUGUCUCCUAACAGCCUUCAGCCGAAUGUCCUUUCCCUCCCACAGUGGGGCAUCUCUCUCCACGCCCUGCCCAUGUUCACCUUGUUCUACCUCCUCUGACAGUGAUUCCAACGCUGUCGUCAUGCAUUCAUUGCUUACGGCAAAUAGCGUCAGGAGGAAUUGGCAGUUGCGUGAAGAUCGGGGUGGGAGUAAGAAUUGAGACUAGGCCGGGUGCGGUGGCUCACGCCUGUAAUCCCAGCACUUUGGGAGGCCGAGGCGGGCGGAUCACGAGGUCAAGAGAUCGAGACCAUCCUGGUCAACAUGUUGAAACCCCGUCUCUACUAAAAAUACAAAAAAUUAGCUGGGCACAGUGGCGUGUGCCUGUAAUCCCAGCUACUCAGGAGGCUGAGGCAGGAGAAUUGCCUGAACCCAGGAGGUGGAGGUUGAGGUGAGCCGAGAUCAUGUCAUUGCACUCCGGCCUGGGUAACAAGAGCAAAACUCCAUCUCAAAAAAAAAAAAAAUGAGACUAGCAGGAAACGGAUCAUCAUCAUUAGUAUCAUUAUUAUUUAAUUAAGCUUUGCUAUUACAACAAUAAAUAAGAACAAUGAGAAUAAUAAUGAUGACCAUAAAUUAGCAUUUAGUAGGUCAGGCACCAUGCCACCCAUUUAAAAUAUGCACGCUUAUUUAAUCUUUAUGCUAUUUUGAUCCCUAUUUUCAUUAUCCCACUUUAUAGAUGAGGAUGUUGAGGUGUAAGGAGAUAAGUACCUUGGGCAAGGUCCUGGGCAGCUGAGUGGUAGUGCUGGGGCCUAGAUCCCAACUUCUGACUGCAGACUGUGACCCGGUGCCUGGUAUCUUGACCACCACGUGCCUGACCUUCACAGGCGUUAGCUUCCUGCAUGCUCACGGCACCAGGCUGAACUGAGCCUGGCUCUCCCUUCUUACAGAUGGAGAAACCGAGGCUCAGAAACAGUAUGCAAUCUGCUUGUGGGGAGGAACGGAGUUCAGGAACAAAAACAGCCUCUAAGCUCCUCUACCACAAUUGCAUAGACCACUCUGUGAAACACACUCUGAGUAAGAAUGGGACGUUAUUUGUCACCGCUAUGGCUCCAUGUGUAGGUAGAAGCAGAAGCGUUUGGGAAGAGGAAAGAGAUCUGACCACAUGUGUUAGGAGGUAGGUAAGCUGUAUGCAUGUAACAUAUCUCCCAGGGCCCCCAUCACUGGAGAGGGGAGCCAUCAACGUGGUUUUGAUGCCUUUAAUAUCUCCAAUGUUCAUUCCGUGAAUCCACCCAUUCAACGAGGACUUACUGAACACCAAUUCUGUCUCAGGAACUCUGCUGGUAACUGGGAAUACCAACGGAUGCAGACUCAGCCCUAGGAGCUCGUGUCCUAGUGGAAGAUGGAAAUAAAAACAGCCACUGUGCUCUGAGGGCCUGCGUGGGCAGGCACUGGCUCUCCACCCUUCAUCCAUUACUGAAUCUGAAUCUCACAAGCACCAUGCAAGUGUAGGUGUCUCUAUCUCUAUUCCAUAGAUGAGGAGCUGGAGGCCAGAUGAGUUAAACGACACUAUGCCAAAUCACACUAGCAAGCAACGAGAUUGGAAUCCAAACCCAGGUUUUCAGAAUUUAGAUCCAUACUACAUGAAGAAGUGUUUGGGGAGAGGAAACAGAUCUGACAACCUGUGUUAGGAGACAGGGAGGCCAUAUGCAUGAAUAACGUUAUCUCCCGGGGUCCCCAUCACUUGAGAGAGGAGCUGUCAUAAAGAGGGGGAGAAGGGUCAUCUGAGCUAGGCUGAGUCUUCUUUGACUUGCUAAAAAAAAUGGAGAGGGAGAGGGCAAUGGGCCAGUAUGGGAGAGAAUAAGAAAGAGAGAAGGCAGAAAUGAGGAAAGAACAUUGGGCAAAGAGAGGAGCCUCUUAGAGCAACAAUCGCAACCAAAAUUUCAGGCACCAACGCAAGCCCACUGAUGCUCCCCAUUUCCUUCCCGAUGGCACAACUGGAAGCUCUGGUUUCGUAUUUCCCUUUCCUUCUGGCUGAUGCACCCUGAAGAAUACAGUAUGUAAAGCGCAGGGACGUGUGAAAGGAAAGCGUGAGGGUUGUUUUCCAUCUUCCAAUAAUAGAGUUUCAAUUUGGUACCUAAAUAAACAAUCUAUUUCAGUGGCUCCCCUCUGAUAACUCCAAUGUUCCCUUCUGUUAUUUCUGGCAGUUCCCAAUCCUGUGAUGUGAUUAGAGAGGAUGAUUACACUUACAUAACAGCAUCAAAUUAAUUUGCCGCCGAGAACAACAGCGGUAGGAAAUCAUUGGAGUUCUCAAAUUGCUCCCCCUACCCCCACCCGCCUCAAGUUUAUUUAAGUGACAUCAAGGGAUUAGAGCGAAGUCGGUCAGUAGAGCACUGCUGGGAAAACAACCAAAACAUCGACUCUGACCUUGUAAACGAGAGAGGAACAGAGCAAAUAAUGAAUAGUGCUGGUCCCAGGCCUGGUGCAAGGGCCAUUGGAUGAAUCAGCCUCCCAAACACACAUUUCCGUCUGUCUGCGGGAGAAAGAAACAAACUGUACCUUUCGGCGCAGAUUAGAUCCAUUUUCCUGGAGCUAUGUCCAGCCAACCAGGGACUGUCAAAACCAAAGAUAUUUGAGAUUUUGCUUAUGUUUCUUUGCUUUUUGGAUCCUUUUCAGAAAAACAAAAAGAAUGUAAAAGUUGACUUCAAUUUUUUUUUACUCUGUGAGCCCUGAACAAAAAUUCAGAAAAAAAAUAAAUAAAAUGCUUCAGCUUCUCUAAAAGAUAUGACAGUAACAGAUCAGAAAACUGUUGCCCGGGUUCCCACCAAAGGUUAGAGGUUCAGGAUAGGGAACAGCACGUGGAUGGCAUAGAAAAGGGAUGCCUUUAGGUCCUAUUCCCGGGUUAGCUCCGAGGCUAACCUUCGACAGUUAUUCAAACUCUCUGUGCCUUGGUUUUUGUACCCAAGAACACAGAUAGUACCGUCUUUCAUCUCUAUUACAGGGUUGGUGUUCACCCAUCCAUUCAUUAUGUUAAUCCAUCCAUUCAACAAGUACUCAUUUUUAUUUUUUUGAGACAGAGUUUCACUCUUGUUACCCAGGCUGGAGUGCAAUGGCACGAUCUCGGCUCACCACAACCUCCGCCUCCUGGGUUCAGGCAAUUCUCCUGCCUCAGCCUCCUGAGUAGCUGGGAUUACAGGCACGCGCCACCGUGCCCAGCUAAUUUUUUGUAUUUUUAGUAGAGACGGGGUUUCACCAUGUUGAUCAGGUUGGUCUCGAUCUCUUGACCUCGUGAUCCACCCGCCUCGGCCUCCCGAAGUGCUGGGAUUACAGGCGUGAGCCACCGUGCCCAGCCCUUCAACGAGUACUUAUUGAACACCACUCUGUCUCAGGAACUCUACAGGUAACUGGGAAUACCAAUGGACGUGGGCUCAGCCCGAGGAGCUUAUGUUCUAGUGGAAGACGGAAAUAAAAGCGGCCACUAUGCUCUGAGGGUCUGCAUGGGAAGGCAGUGACUCUCCAUCCUUCAUCCAUUAUUCUAUUUUUUUUUUUUUUUGGUUUGCUUUUUGAGAUGGAAUCUUACUCUGUCUCCCAGUCUGGAGUUUAGUGGCGUGAUCUCAGCUCACUGCAAUCUCUGCCUCCUGGCUUCAAGCAGUUCUCCUGCCUCAGCCUCCCGAGCACCUGGGACUACAGGAGCAUGGCACCAUGCCCGGCUAAUUUUUGUAUUUUUAGUAGAGAUGGGGUUUCGCCAUGUUGAUCAGGCUGGUCUCAAACUCCUGACCUCGUGAUCUGCCUGCCUCAGCCUCCCAAAGUGCUGGGAUUACACCUGUGAACCACUGCGCCCAGCCCCAUUAUCGUAUUUGAGUCUCGCAAGCACCAUGCAAGCACAGGCAUCUCUAUUUCUAGUUCACAGAUGAGAAAACUGAGCCCAGAUGAGUUAAAUAACACCAUGCUGACUCACACUAGCAAGCAGAGAGACUGGAGUCCAAACCUAGGUUUUCAGAAUUUAAAGCCAUACUAUAUCCCUUUAGAUUUUUUGGAAACUGAUAAGCUCUAAAGCACUGUGCAAAUACAAGGAACUGCUUUAAGUGUGUUUGCACAAGCUGUUCAUACACUAGACAGAUGUCACAAAUGCACGGAUUUCUAUUGCUUUAUUCCAGUGAUUCCAGCACUUGAUUCUUUCUAAAGCAAAUCUUUGUCCAUAGCCGCAUUUGAUCCUUGUAACAGCACUGUGAUACACGUGGAGCAGGUAUUAUUACUCCCACUGGACGAUGAAGAGACCAAUAUUAUGCAGCUGGCUAAGGCCCUUGACCCACAUCGGACCACUGGUCAGUGGCUCUUCUCUUGCUCUUUACCCUCCAUCUCCUCUCAGUGGGUCUGCACGAGGCUAGGAUUAUGUUUUGGCCUCGAUAGAUUCAUGGGUACUUCCUAUAUUGUGUUGGUCUUUUGGGUCCCAGUGGCAUCCCUUUUUGGGUAAAAAUCCAUAUUUGCAACAUAGCAUGAGCUAUUUUUAUAUUUGUCUGCUUUGAAAAUCAUCGGCUGCUUUUCCACCUUAUGAGAACGUGUCACAUUUUCCUGUCACCUUUUGUUAACAUCAUCAACAUUUCACCAACAUGGAGGCUUCACUGUGCAUUCCUCUCACUUAGCUCUUUUAGAAGAUUCCUCUUUUUUUCUUUUCUUUUUUUUUUUUUUUGAGAUGGAGUUUCACUCUUGUUACCCAGGCUGGAGUGCAAUGGCGCGAUCUCAGCUCACUGCAACCUCCACCUCCUGGGUUCAGGCAAUUCUCCUGCCUCAGCCUCCUGAGUAGCUGGGAUUACAGGCACGCACCACCAUGCCCAGCUAAUUUUUUGUAUUUUUAGUAGAGAUGGGGUUUCACCAUGUUGACCGGGAUGGUCUCGAUCUCUUGACCUUGUGAUCCACCCAUCUCAGCCUCCCAAAGUGCUGGGAUUACAGGCGUGAGCCACCGCGCCUGGCCCAGAAGAUUCCUCUUAAUACCAAUGUGUGGGGCUUCCAAAGUUGGGAUUAUUCCGAUGAGAUGAAUUUGACCCUUUGUUUCAAACCAACUCUUACUCAUUCCUUCUGCAGUGUAGGAUCUGUGUCGUCUGACUGUGCUUUUCCAGACUUCUCUCACUUCAUAAAAUAGACAUCAAAAAAUUAUUUGGACCCUUUUACUCUCAUGGCUUGGUUCCUGUACCUGAUUGACCCCCAACUUUGACACCCUUCCCUCAUUCUUCAGGGACAACUGAACUUCCACAUCCUUGAGGACACAUGUCCACAAUACCUCUGCCAACACUAACAUCCACCUCCUCUGAAUUUCCAAACCCCACAGACUGCCAGAGGUUUGCUGCACAGGCACAUUGAGGAGCUCUGGUCCUACUCGCUUCUUACACAGAUGAGGAAACUAGGACCCAGAGAGGGCAAAUGACUUUCCAGUUGGUGUCAAAGCGGGAAGUAGGGCUCCAUUCUCUUGCUUCGAACUGCUUCCCUCAGACUGCUUUUCCUUUCCCUCCAAAGUCUGUGGAACAUGGAUUGUGUAUGCUCAGUCUGGGAUGAGUAUCUCUCUUAUUAUCCCCAUCAAUUCAAACUACUCCUUGAUGAGAGCUGAGUCUCUUUCAUCUCUGAAUCCCACAGCGUUUUUCACAAGCUCAACACACAGUAGCUGUUCCAGGCACGGUUUUGGGAUAAAUGUUCUUGAUGGAAACAGUGUUCCUUUUCACCCAUAAGGCUGUUUGCCAACGCACCUCCUGUUGCUUUCCUCUCUUGUUCUUACAGCAGUUUCUCUUCUCAACUCAAAUCAUGUCCGCUCCAUUCCACACCUCUGCAGAAAACUCCGACUGCUACCUAAGCUGCAUUCAUUCAUUCACUCAUUCAUUUAUUCACUGAAUAUUUGCAAAGUAUCUGCAGGGGAUGCAGCAGUGAACAGAAUGAAAUCCUUGCCUCGGUGGAGCUUAUCAUCCCUCAGUAUCUCCACCUCCUCCCACGUGAUGGCUCCCAACUCGAGGGAAACCCAGAGUUUCACAAAAAGCUUCUGCAGUGUCCAUGUCAUUAAAGGUGAUAAUAGCAGAUAUUUUCAUGUCUACGUAAAUAACUGAAUAAACGCAAUGACUACUUACAUAUGGUUUUCAUUUAAAAGUACAGAGUUCGGCAUUAGCUACCUCUGCUCAGGACUUUCUCACUCUCCACCAUUGAAUGAAGAGCUGAAUGUUACCAGUUAUUGGGGCAACUGAACCGACCGGCAAUUUAAAAUGUUUAUUUUUGGCCAGGCACAGUGGUUCAUGCCUGUAAUCCCAGCACUUUGGGAGGCAAAGGUGGAUGGAUCACGAGGUCAGGAGUUCAAGACCAGCCUGGUCAAGAUGGUGAAACCCCGUCUCUAUUGAAAAUGCAAAAAUUAGCUGGAUGUGGUGGCACACGCCUGUAGUCCCAGCUAUUCGGGAGGCUGAGUCAGGGGAAUCACUUGAACCUGGGAGGUGGAGGCUGCAGUGGGUCAAGAUCAUGUCACUUCACUCUAGCCCGGGCGAGAGAGCAAGACUCUGCCUCAAAAAAAAAAAAAAAUUUAUUUUCGGUUGUUUAAUUAAGUUGGCUAAUUCUUGUGCAUAAUGGGUUUUUGACAAAGACAAAUAGAAUUCUGAAGUAAAAAUUUUAAAAGUUUAUGAAGAGUGUGCGUCUAAUGGUAACUUAGUAAAUGUAUGUCAAGGUAUUCUUCACUGGAUUUCAGAACUGCAUUUACCUCUCAUAUAACCCAUUAAGAUCCCUCCAUAAAUUCAAAAAUCAAUGUAAAUAAUAGAAAAUUUGGUGUUGCUUAUGUCCAAUUUGGCUUUUAAUUUUUUGUAUAGAUGUGUUUAUUAAUAGCAGCUAAAAAUCCUUUUAUUUCAUUAGAAAUAAGGAAACAAGGAAUAACAAUAAAUCACCUUUUUACCCAAAAGGUAAGCUUUUUUACCAGUAGUUGUAAAUCAGAUUGGGCCUGUUUUUAUCUACUUUUGAUACUAUGAGACAGUUAAAUUUCAACCCACAGUUCAGUCUUUAUUUAGUUGCAAAACUAAGUGUACUAAUGGAGGUCAUUUUAAUGUAUGUUUCCUAAAUUAUCAUUUCUUAUGUAAUUAAACUAAAUUAAACCAUGGGCACCACUUUUUAGAUGGAACUCAUUCAGAAUUUAUUAUUAUAAUCAUGCAUAUUAGUAAAUACUGUAUUCAAUUAAUUUUGUAAUAAAAUCUUUAAUAUAUACUUACCUAAAAGGACACAUACAUUUAAAAACAUUAACUCACUUCAUGUUGCAUUAUAUGCAAAAUGAUUAGAUGAUUAAAAAAUGUUCAAGUUAUAUGUACGACUGUGAAAUGAAUUUACCAGUUUAGAAGUGGUUGGGGAAUGGUGUUCUAGACUCUGAAUAAUCUGCCUUGCCUUCCAUCCUUGCACCUUCUCUAAGACACCAUUGAUCAUCCUUUCUCUCUCCCGCAUUAACAAUCUUUCCUUUUCCACUUCUUUUUUUCCUAAAAUCCACAAACAUUAUCAGGUCUCUCUGUUCUACACAGCCAGCCAACCAACUAUACACAGCAUCAGGAAACCUCCUUCCCAGUCCUGUCUUCCCCUCAAGCUGCUACCUUACACAGCCAAACUUCUGGAAAGAGUAUUUUUCUGCCAUUUUCUCUGUCUCAGGGCCUUUGUACUAGCUGUUUCUUCUGCCUAGCAUGUUCUUCUCACAGUUCUUUGCAUCAGUGGCUGGGUCCUGCCAUUCAGGUUUUAGCUCUGGUAAGAGCUGACCAACCCUGCUCAGUGCCCAACCAAUCACUCUUCUGAUUCGGAGUGUUUACCACUAUCUGAGUUUCUCUUAGAUUGUUCCAAAAACAGAGAACAUCCCCGGCCACAUAGAAAGUGGCCAGGCUUCCUUGUCACCUAAAGGAAUAGACGAAUACAUGAUGAAACCUUUCAGCCUCCCUUGCUGGUUUCUUCCCUCUGUCCUGACCCCCACAUGCUUGCUUUGCGCAGGAGUCCGCCUUUCAACCUCUUCUGUUCUUCCUUUUCACACUCUUGCUGGGUUAUCACAGCCACUUGUCACCCUCAGAAUUCCAACAUUCACCCGCAUGGAGAUGGCAAACACAGCGUGGUACAGCCCAGCAAUGCAGACGAUGCUGGUGGUUCUCCACUCGCUCUCUUUUCAAGAUAGUCUCCUCCCAGUGUGUGCACGCUGUUCCCGACAGGAUCUUCUCAUCGAUAGGAACAGCAUCUCUAGGUGGCGGUUAUUUGCUUUGUUUGACCUAUAUGUCAAUGACUUCCCAAAUCUAUGUGUGCAGCACUGGAGUUUUCAGACCCCUUUCAAACAGCCUGCUAGACACUUCCAUUGUUCACCUCUAGCACCCAGCACAAUGCUUGGCACACGGUGAAUGCUCCCUAAAUCUCCAUGCUACGAUAAGCAUGUAUUCAGUGACACCACCCACUCAGAUAGUCUCUACCAGCUUGCUAGGUCUAAAAGGGAGGCUCGCCUACCUGUGCUUCUCUCCUUUCAGAGUCAUGGUGGCGAUUUGCCAGGUCUUGAGCACAAUACCCAUCUGUAACAAGUUACACGUUUUGGCCAAUAGUUCCACCAUUUCACCCUUGAGUUCCUUCAAAACUCUUGGGUGGCUGCCAUCAGUUCCGGUGAUUUAUUUACACCGAGGGUGUCAUUCUAGGACAUCCUGUCCAUUUGCCACAACUGGUUCCAAGGCUUUAGACCUCUCUGUUUCCAGACACAGUUGGAGAGUGGGGAUUUUCCUCUUCACCACCAUGGUAACAGCAAAUAGCAAGGAUUAGCCAUGACUCUCUCAACUAUUUUUUGCUCAUCUUUAAAGUGGUGAUGAUCAAGUGACUCCAACCAUUAGAACGGUCUUUCUCUUUUUUUUACUGCCAUUGGUGCGUAAUAAAGGAAUGCUUUCUGACCGGCAUAGGAAUUCCCUGCGAAGUCAUCCUCAAAUUAUCUCCUGAAGCACCGCGCCAACUAACUCUAUGAAGUUCCAGCUGAUAACUCGGAUGGGUUCAAAAGCUUUCACACGUCCCAGAUCAUUGAAUCUGAUUAACAAUUCUGAAAGAUUGAUAAGAGAGGCUAGACAGUUACCACUUUACAGGCAAAGAAACUGAGGUUCAGAGUGGUCAAGAGAUCUGAACGUCACAUAGCAAGUUAGCAGCUGAGCUGAGGCUCAAACCAUCCUGCAGAUUUCCACUCCAGUGGGUCUCCUCCUGGCUACACCUUGACGCAGCUGAACUGCAUGGACCUAUCCUAAUCCAAUCAAAUGCUUGAGGAAUAGUCAUUAGGACAACUGGAAAGAACUAACUGGGCCGGGCGCGGUGGCUCAAGCCUGUAAUCCCAGCACUUUGGGAGGCUGAGGCGGGUGGAUCACGAGGUCAAGAGAUUGAGACCAUCCUGAUCAACAUGGUGAAACCCCGUCUCUACCAAAAAUACAAAAAAUUAGCUGGGCAUGGUGGCGUGUGCCUGUAAUCCCAGCUACUCGGGAGGCUGAGGCAGGAGAAUUGCCUGAACCCAGGAGGCGGAGGUUGCGGUGAGCCGAGAUCAUGCCAUUGCACUCCAGCCUGGGUAACAAGAGCAAAACUCCGUCUCAUAAAAAAAAAAAAAAAAAAAAAAAAGAACUAACUGACGUCAAAAUGGUUGAUUCAGUAGCCACAUGCAGCUCUGGCCUCAUGUAACAAAAAUGCACUCUGCUAAGAAAUAUUCUCCAAGGAGAGCCUGAGAGAACAUACUGAGAGUCCUGCCCCACGGAGUACGGCCCGGACUAUGUUUGAAGGUGGACAACACGCUACACGUAAAUACACACACAGCUUUGUGCAUUUCAAGGCUUAAAAGUUCUCCUUGCUGGAUUUUGUCUUGAGAUAAACUGAAUUCUCACUAUAGGAUCCUCAACAGGAAUCCAGGUUGAAGGGGACAUGGGGGCCACCUCUAGGAAUGAAGACAUCAUCGAACGGGGGGCAGCUUUGAGUCAGUAGCAACCACAACGCCCACAAGAGAAUAAUGAGGAAGCUGAGAAGUUGGAAGGAUUAAACACUGGCAUUUCAUUUUAGGAUCGUAUUUUGCGUGCAACCACAGCUGCAGACCUGAAAGACUGGCCGUCUCAGAUUUGCCCAUAAACACAGAGAAAUCUGCCUCUAAUGUAAUCUGACAUCGUCCCUACUCUCUGAUUAACCACUUUUGGGUAGGCCUCAGAGAAGUGCCUGCCAAAUGAUGCCCUGUGGAUCUCAGGGGCUGCCAGUUUCAUUUUCACUUCUACCUACUCUUUUCCCAAGUAGUAUCUUGCCAGUGGAGACAAUCUGAUGGAACGGAAAGACGCAUUUAACCAUCUUUGAUACAAAGAUGGGAGGGGGAAAUACGACUUGCUAUCCCCUUUUCCCCCAUUGAUGAGACAAAAAAUAAUUUGUUAGAUUUAAUUUCUUUGCUACAAAGAAAUUUGUAGACAGAAUUUUGGACAUGUCAGUCACUCAACUCAGUAUUUUAAAUUUUUUAAAAGCAUGACCUUGAAGUGUAUGUGGGGUUUUUUAGAGUUUUGAAUUUGAAGGUCCUGAAUAUUUUAUAAAAACUUCAAUUUGUGUGUGUGUUUUUAAAAAAGGUUUUAAUUUGCUUCAUUACAAGCUCUCUGAGCUUAAAACAUUUUUUUUUCUAAAGUUUCUGAGCCUUCCUUUGGAAGAAUAAAAUGCUCUUCUAACAAAUGUCAAUUGAUCACCGGUGUCGAGGAACCGUGCAGAGGGUGAAUGUGGGCUCCACACUCUGGCACCUAGUUGCUCUCUCCCACAUUCAGCGUACUUGCUAAUGAAGAGAGCAUUGGUAUGGGACUGAAAAACAGGAUUCCCUUGGUCUGUUAAUUUACUUGGAAUAAUUCAUUAGCUGACACUUUUAGCUGUGAAUUUAGCUGGUAAAUCCCAGGUCACCCCAAUAUUAUGUGUAAAGAGGAUAGUUCAGUUUUUGUGUGGGAACUUCGGGAGGAUGGAUUAAAGCCCUUUCUCCCAUCGUUACCCUGACAUAAGGGAGCUUGUUAAUAAGGAGCUCGUCGGAUCCUUUCCUUUGUACAGGCGCUGUAUGAAUAUUUAUGGAAUAUUUCAUCUGUAAAUAGCAUUAAAAUCUAAACAGAGCAUACCAAGAAGUAGGAAGGCCAUUUUCACCGAAUAUGUAGCAGUGCUGUGAACAUGCUGGGGUUCCACUCCUGGCUAUCAGCUGAGGAGCAGCAAAGAAGGAAACAGUUAUUUGUUUAACAAAUGAGGGGGCAGCAAAUCGUGUGAUCUGCUUUGGUGUUCCUGUUAAUCAGGUCUUCUGGGUAACCGAAUGCUCGCCGCAUGUCUGCACACACAGACUCACACAGGUGCCUCAUAUUUGUAACCGCUGCAACUGGUCAUACGAAAACGUGGCUUUUGUAGAUAAAAAGAGGUCAGAAUUUUUGUAUGACUUCGCCUAAUUCGUGCCGCCCUAAGUUUCUCGCCUUUCUUCUUUUGGGUACAGGGAGGGGUGGGGAUAUGGAAUCGCUGUUUACAUGUGGACUCCUUCUAGCAAGCUGAGCAGGAAAGGGAGGAGAGGGAGGAGUUGAAUGAAACCUCCACGGAGACCAACUCCUGCAGAUUCCAUGGGCAGCACUGCCUCUUCGAAGCAGCAGGAUCGAGGAUGUGGGGGUGGCACCCAGCUUGUACACCAAAGACACUUCCCACUUACCCGUUGUGGCUGUGUGCUCUGGAUUGCAAACCUCUGGUACCCAUCACAAAUAUAUUACCAAUUUUCAAAGGGAUUAGUAUACAAUGAAAUACACUCAACAAGAAAACCACCCAGAACGCAAUGAAUCAUUCUUUGAUGAUUCAGAAAGCAUUUUAGGAUCCUGCAGUGCCUUAGGGGCAGCAUUACAAACAUCAAUUAUCUUUUGGUAAAUGUGUAGAAGAGCUAGUUCACUAGUUAAGGAGAGCUGGGCAACUCUGUUUUAUAAUAUGUUUUUUUAAAAAAUAAUGUUCUAUCCCAGGCUUUUCUACUUUCAAGCCCUUGCCCAGAACGUUGCUUCUAUUUUUGCAAAAAUGGCUCACUUACCAGCUUGGAGAAGUACCUCCUCUAUGGUGUGCCUGGAAGUAAAACUGGAAUUCUCUCAUUUUCCUAUGAGCCAUUUCCAGGGUAGACUUCUGUCCUUCCUAACCUUUUAAGUAUGGCUCUAAUGAAAUUCAAAACACUAUAUGAGAAGUUUGGUCUGACAAAGACGAUAGUAUUUUUUAGAAAGGUCGGUCGGUCGGGUGGCACACUUAGGCAUGGUUUGGUUUCAAAUGUUCCUGAAAACCAGGAGGGUGUGUGAUUCUAUUGCAGUCAGGCCCAUCGCAAGCUAAGUUUCCCCCUCUUCAAAAAGUACCAUGGUUGGUAAUGACAAGAAGAAAGUCUGGUCCUUGGAAAUCAAGUCUUUGAGCACUUUUGAAAACAAAUCUAUCCAAAACAUCUGUAAGAAUGUUAUCCUUAAAAACCCAGGUGUCUAAAACAUGAGGGGAAAAAUAAACAAAUGAGAUUUUGUCCACCAAGUUUUUGAAAAGCAGGUUUCCAGCAGAAACAUAGUGUCUAGAAUAAAAUGCAGUCGGCUUUAUGACUCUUUAUUUUCCAUGUGAUUCUUCCUUUUUGGUCUUCAACACAGAAUGGAACUUCUAGGUUAGUCUCGUCGGACUUUCCAGAAGUACUGCUGGACUAAACGAGGGGAUUCCAGGCCAGACAACACCUCUGGGAGGCUCAACUUUGGCUUGAAUGUAUUAAAAACUUCCAGUUAUUAAUGCAAAUUUUAAUGGUGACAGACCCGAAGCAGCCAGACACAAAGGUUAAAGCAUUUUACGUGAAUAACUGAAGACAGAUGUGCUGUAUUUCUAUCAAACCAAAACCACAGGCCUGGGCCUUGCCCAAUAUAUAGUGAAAGGUCACCAGAAUUCAGAGAAAGGAGGAUACAUUACAGCUGACUGCGUGCCUUUAAAGAAUUGCAUGAAACACACGCGCACACACACACACACACACACACACAAUACACACACUACACAUACAGAGAGAAUAAAGGAGCAUCUCUAGGUUGCUUAUACACAUAUUUACUCCCACUAUUAUUAAGGUAAGCCUACACACAAUCUCAAGAAACGUCAUUUUACUUGAAGCGACUCUGGCUUUGUAGGUACAUUUUGUUACAAGUUCAAUAUCAUCUACCUGCUACCCCUAAAAGUAUGUCUCCAAGCGGGGACACUGCUGGUAUUUUGUAAACUGCUGCUGCUUCUCCUCUUUCUCUGUUAGACAUGGUCUAAUGGGUUUAGAAAAUGACAUUCAAGAUGCUGCUUUGCCAAUUAGAACUUCCACUACCUGAUUCUUGAAGGACAUAAGUAUGCCUAAUUGUGUGCUCAGACAUUUUAUUAAGUUGUUUUGAGUGCUGAAAGUCUUUUAACCUUCAUAUAGACCCAUAUUCAUUAAAAAAAAUGUUUUCAGGGAAAAAAUAACAGGGAAAAAGUCAUUUAAUUACAAAUAAAAGUACUCUUUCCAAUAUGCACAGAUUUUCUGCCAGCCUAGCAAAGCAAAGGCAGGCUGCAGAGGGUAAAAACGGAAUUGGGAAAACUGCACAGAUAUUUUCCCAAAAUGUUCUCAACGAUGCUGCAAAUGCCAUUCUGGGUAGCUGGGAGGGAAAGACAGCAUGCAUCAUCUUGCCAGGGGCAGAGCCUACUCUCAAGCCGCUUUUGAGAGAAAGAGCUGAGCAAAUAUGAGUUAGAUGUUUCUCCUGCCCUAGAAACAUCGUCUUUGGGUUACCUUGGUCUUUGGACAAAUUGAGGAACAGUGUCUCCUACCAAGGAGAUUAUCUCAUGCAAGAAAAAAUGUUCCCUUAAGCACCAAAUUGUUGUUUCAUAACUUUCUUUUAGAAAGUUACCUUUUCAGCCAGAGCGGUGGCUCACGCCUGUGAUCCCAGCACUUCGGGAGGCUGAAGCGGGCAGAUCAUGAGGUCAAGAGACUGAGACCAUCCUGGCCAACAUGGUGAAACUCUGUCUCCACUGAAAACACAAAAAUCAGCUGGGCGUGGUGGCACUCACCUGUAGUCCCAGCUACUCGGGAGGUCGAGCCAGGGGAGUCACCUGAACCCAGGAGGCAGAGGUGGCAGUGAGCCGAGAUCGCACCACUGCACUCCAGUCUGGGCGACAGAGCGAGACUCCGUCUCAAAGAAAAUAAAAAAAGUUUCCUUUUCAAAAGUUUAGGAGGUUACAUGGCAUGUUAAACUCUUGAUGAAAUCUAAGGCAGAGGAGCGAGGAGGUUCGCUACUAACAACCUUCCAAGAGAACCCAGUCAUUAAUGAGCCCCAAUGGUCACCAAUCAUACAGACCCCCACGUGGGACACACUUUAGCAUGAAUACAACCUUGCCUUGGAAAGCAUAUAUAGGAAAAUAUGCCGGCGGGGAGGACAGCUCCCCAAUUCUGCUGCUCAAAGAUAUUUGCCAUAGACUAGGCUGACUCGCCCAUUCAGGCACCCCUCACGUUCCCGCUGGACCUACCCUUCAGAUUUGAGAUCACCCACGUGUGUUUUCCCACCUCUGGAGGCUAUUUUCUGCUUCCUCCCUUCUUAGUAAGGUGCCAAUCACCGCUCUCUCCCGCCGCCCCCUUCCCCAAAGGCUCUCUGAGGCUGCUCCCUUUGUGAUUGGCAUCUCAUUAAUGAAGAGGGGCUGGUGUCUCUCAUUACAGUUACAGUGAGUGAGAGGACCUCAGAACUAAUUUACUUGCUCUCACUAGGGAAGACACUUGCCUCCAUCAAGAACUUCACUUUCCUGCUGCCUGUGGCAAUAAAAGAACCCGUUUUGUUUUAACAGUAAUAAGGUGAGAGAAUAGAGAAUUUCCAAAAGAAAUUAAGAGAGGCAAGAGGGUAGGUGUUGGCCCGCGGAAGUUUCCCUGAAGCAGGUCUGAUGGUGGAGUCGAGCGAUGGGCAACAUCUGGACCACAUAAAAAAAAGCCUGGCAGGCAAAUAAGAGGCCCGUCAAGCAGAGAAGCUGGGGUGGGAAGCAGGAGGCGCGGGUUCUAAUCCUAGGUCCUCAGUCCCUGAGUGACCUUGGGCAAGUCUUUGAGUUUUCUCUGGUCCUCAAUGUUAUUAUCAGUGAGAUAAAGGGAUGGAA